CACUUUUUAUUAUUUUGGUCACCACUCACAUAUUUUUUAAACCGCUUCUUUUAAACGAACCGCACCUAUUCCGCAGUAUGCUUUUUACUAACACAAACUACCGCUCAUAAACCGCACCGCACUAACCAAUCCGCUUGUUCCGCACCGCCCAACCCGCGGUUACCAUUCGGAGCCAUAAAUAGAGGAAUGGGAAGAGGAGAUUGGUUGUCUUCUCUGUCUUGUAAUAUAAAGAAGCUUAAAAAUCAGAAAGUGUUUUAAUUUUUCAAGUGUCGGUGAAUUCCCAAACCUUCUCUUCUUUCUUCUCCUCACGUCUUUAAACUCUCUUCCCUUCGCAUGUAACCCUUUCGCCGCUCACAAAAUAUCUUUUCUCUCGAGAAACUCAGAUCGAAUAAGAAAAUCGCCGAUGAUUCUGUGAUUUUUUCUGGAGUUUUUUUUUUAUGGAGACGGGAGCGAAAGUAACGGCGGCGACGAUGGGGAUAGGGACGAGGAAAAGAGAUCUGAAACCGUACAAAGGGAUACGGAUGAGGAAAUGGGGGAAGUGGGUGGCUGAGAUUAGAGAACCCAACAAGCGUUCCAGGAUCUGGCUCGGUUCUUACUCUACUCCCGAAGCGGCGGCGAGAGCUUACGACACUGCUGUUUUCUACCUCCGUGGUCCUUCGGCGAGGCUCAAUUUCCCGGAGCUUUUGGCUGGACUUACUGGUUCAGGCGGUGGUGGAGAUAUGUCGGCGGCGUAUAUAAGGAGAAAAGCGGCGGAGGUUGGUGCUCAGGUGGACGCGCUCGGAGCGACGGUGGUGGUGAAACCCGGCGAGAGUCUCGGUGGUUACGAGGAUAAGGAUAACUGUAAUGGAGUUAAGAGCGGUAACGGGUCGUUGGAACGGGUCGAUUUGAAUAAGUUGCCCGACCCGGAAAAUUCGGAAGAUGACGACCAAUGGGUGAAGAGGAGAUAGAAGGAAAAUAUAAUAAUAAUAAAAAAAAUGUAGUUGUAGAAUAAGAAUGUUUGUCUCUACGAUGCGCAUCCAUGAUGCACCGUGGUCGCUAAGAUGCGCAAUCCAUUUUAUUUUUGCUUCACCACUCGAUGGAAGAUUUAAAAUGUGCCACUUACAAUUUUACAAAUAGAUUGUAAGUGAACUAGCUAUGAUGAUUCAAUGGGUUGUAUGGUCUUUGUAUUAACGAAACACGUAUUCAAUUGGAGGGCUACUCCAUCCAUAGGUUGUAUACAUGGUUGUUUUUUGGUCGGUUGAUUUACUUUAAGAGGUGUUCUGAUUUUGUGUGUCAUGAUUUAGAUAAGAGAAUAAGUACUGUAUUUACGUGUUCGUGCUUCUUUUGCAAGAGAACCGGUACAUAUAUUUAAACUACUCUAUAAAUGAAUCGCUAAGACAAUUAAAAAAAGUCUAAAUAUGACUAAAACAACUAAUCUGUUGGAUCUUCUAUCAAUUAUUCAUAUAUUUUUGUGUUUUAAUCAACAUGACAGAUAAUCUUGCUCAUAGUGCUUGCUCUAAAUCUGUUCAGUUUUAUUUACAAACUCUUCUCUUUCGAUGUUAUGUGAUCAUCCAUUCCGGGUGUUUAAAUUAUACCCUAGCAACCUUUUCUUGUAACAAGUUAAAGAAAUUGCAUUUUGUAUUGUAGAGGUGCUAGUGCACAUAAACCAUAGCAAAUUAGUUAUUUUUUUGUGUGGUUUGAAUGUGUUUUCUUCGUUGAAAAUAUUUACAUACCAAUACAGUGUAUAUUUAAAAAAAAAAAAUCAACAUAAAUCAUGUAAUGGUUUUCAGUAUUAUUGAGUCAGUUUUUCUGUUACCCCGUCAUAAAGCAAAUGAUUCAAAAAUAUCUCAAUAGGGGAGAAUAAUAUUUGAUCUGCGGUUGGGGAUGAGAAAUCUAUGUGUUGGAAAGAAAGUAAGAUUUGAAAGAAUACAAUUGUAGAGGUUGGUGCAACUCUGUCACUGUCCUAACAACUAAAGCUCGCAAAUUAUCGUAACCACUAAAAGUGAUUUGAUGUGUUUUGAGGAUAAUGUCAAGAGCAAAUUACAGCUUCUCAGUUUAUUUGCAUACUCUGUUUUAUUUUUAUUUUAUUGGGGGCAGAGGUAGUCGGCAAGAUUCUUCUGCUGAUAUUUGUUUCUUUUUCGUAACCAUUUGGCAAAAUCUAAAACGUGCAAAGUGAGGAACGGUUUAUACAACGGGUGUUGUGUGAAACUAAAGAUUUGACACAAGUCUUGUGACCACAAACACAAGACACUUUUUUCCAGACAUGUUCUGUGUGAUCCCACAAGUUCAAAAAAAAAGAAGAAGAAUUAGAAUUAGGGAAGUAAUAACUAAAAGUGAAAUUUCAGUGUUUUUUUUUUUGGUUUCUUGAAUCCAAAAUUGAAAUAUGUAGUUUCAUAUGCCUCAUGAUGAGUCUAUGACGUUGCGAUUACUUUAUUUCUCGUUCAUUUUACCUCUUAUUAACCAAAUGAAGUUGAAAAAAAGGAAACAUUAAUAGCGAUGAAUGAAAUACCAUUUUGUUAUCAAAAUGUUUGGUGGUGUAAUUGCAGUGCAAGAAUUUUUCAAUUCAUAAUUUCUUUGUUAUGAAAUGUUAUUUUAAAAUUAAAAUUUCUAAAAACUGAUUCCGGAUCUAGUAAAGAUUAUGAGUGUAAGGUCCAAAACUUUUACAAAUUUCAAAAUUUGUUUUACCUUUCUUAAACAUUUAUAAGUAACAUUCAUCAUUUUUCCCUUUUUCAUAGAUUUUUAGGUUAUUUAUUUUGAUGUCUUGAAUAUAAAUUAGAAAAGACAAAACUUCAUUGAUUUAUUAAAAAAACUGUUUUAAUAAUUAUUUUCUAGAAUAUUAUUUUCUAGAAAUGUAUUCAUCUAAAAUAUGUAUGUUAUUUAAUAAUACUGUUCUUUUAUAUUCGCUGUUAGAAAACAAUAAAAAAGAUUAAUGCAAAUGGUAGCUCAAAAUUAGCUUAACUAAUAUCGUACGGACAAAGUUCAGCAGCUAUAAGGGGCGUAAAUAUAGUUUGGUUACACUUGCACCAAAUCAAGAAGUACCGUAAAAGAGAGUAUACGUCGGUGGAUAAACAAACCAAAGAAAGAGGAAAGCUUUUUUUUUUAUUUUUGUAUUAAUCAAAAGUAUUGGUUAGAUGAGAAUCAAAGCAUCUGAUAACCUAACCCAUCAACAAAAUAGUAGCUGAUUCCGAUUCUGCAAAGAGACAGAGAGAAGUGCACUUACACGAUCUUUAGUAAAGCAAACGCUCAACGCCUCUCCUAAGUUAUUGGAAGCUUCUAAAAGUUAACAGGGCCUCACAAAAUGCAUUACUUUGACAUUGUUGUUAUUGAGUAGCUUUUAAUGAACAUGAUUUAUCAGCGUUAACAAGGUUUACUUGACAGGAGAGUGUGAGAUCGCGGAUACUCUCUUUCACAAGACCCGGGGCCGGCUUAACUUGAUGAAGGGUUUUUAGGCAAAAACUAUUUAAUAAUUUAUGCCAAUUGUUUUUAAAAUUUUAUUUUCCUUUUUAGUAUUUUCCACAUAACAUAUAUAAUAAAAAUAAACUAUUCAUAUAAUAAAACGAAACUUAUGUUUACAAAUAAGGAAAGAAAAUAUACUUUAUAUUUUAUAAAAGGAGUUCACAAAAAACAUUUUUGAUGUUAAAAAAAUAACCCUUUCUUUAAAACAUAAUAUCAACAAACAAAAUUUAUAUUCUAAAUUUAAUAAAAAAAUUAUUUAUAUCACUCUAUUUUCUCAGAUUAUUAAAAGGAAAUUAAAUAAAGUACACUAAAAUAUCAUUGAUGAACUACAAAUAUUUUAUAAUUUCUAGUGUUGAGAUGUUUAUUAACUUUUGCAUAAAUGUUUUCGUUAAAUUUUUAAUUUUUAUUUACAUUUUAUGUAUAAUGUUUUAUCAAAUCACAUGUAUAAAAAAUCUACGAACUUUAAUCAAGCAUAAUUUACCACUAAAAAUUCUUUAAGGCUUAAUAUUAUUAUUUUACUAAUAAUUAGAUUAUUUACUAUAUUGUAAAGUUAAUGUUUAUGAUAUAGAGUUCAAAGUUUAAAUUUGGGGUUUGAGGUUAAGAUUAAGACUUGGACUACGUUUUUAAAAAUUAAGUUUAGAUAUUAGAUUAAGUUGAGAUUAUUUUUGAAAAUAUUAGAUUUGUAGUUUAUGUGUGUAAGAUUUGAUGUUUAAGUUUGAAUAUAUUAGUUUAAGUGUUUAGAUUUAUAAUUUGUGGUAUAGUACAUAGGGUUUGAAGUAUAUUUUAGGGUUUGUGGAGUAGGGUUUGGAGUUUAGAUAGAGGGUUUGGAAUUUUAAUUUUAAUUUAAGGUUUAUAAAUGUUAAAAGUGAUUAUUAAAUAUAAAUGUUAAGACUUAGUUAUAAAGUAAAAGUUAUUAAAGCAAAGAAGUUUAAAAAUUUAAAAUUGUGUAAGAUAUAAAAAUUAAGUAUGAUUUGGUAUGUAGUUUAGAUUUAAAGAUUAAUGUUUUAAAUAUAAUUUUUGAAAAAUUGUUUAUCUUAGCGUAAAAAAAAAUAUGCUAUUAUAUGUUUUUGAUAUCAUGUAUCCGGCGCUUAAAUCUAAUUUUUAGCUAAGUAUUGGCGGUAUCAAUGAUUUUCGCUUUCCGUUCACUAAUUUUCCACAACAGCGAUAAUUAACUGCUAUCAAUAUAAACAAAAGUAAAAAAUUAAUCAUUCAUAGCAGUUUAGAAAACAAUGCUAUCAUAAUGUGUUACUAAUACCACUUUUUUUUGUAGUGGUACUUAAACCACACUGCACUAACCAAUCCGCUUGUUCCGCACCGCCCAACCCGCGGUUACCAUUCGGAGCCAUAAAUAGAGGAAUGGGAAGAGGAGAUUGGUUGUCUUCUCUGUCUUGUAAUAUAAAGAAGCUUAAAAAUCAGAAAGUGUUUUAAUUUUUCAAGUGUCGGUGAAUUCCCAAACCUUCUCUUCUUUCUUCUCCUCACGUCUUUAAACUCUCUUCCCUUCGCAUGUAACCCUUUCGCCGCUCACAAAAUAUCUUUUCUCUCGAGAAACUCAGAUCGAAUAAGAAAAUCGCCGAUGAUUCUGUGAUUUUUUCUGGAGUUUUUUUUUUAUGGAGACGGGAGCGAAAGUAACGGCGGCGACGAUGGGGAUAGGGACGAGGAAAAGAGAUCUGAAACCGUACAAAGGGAUACGGAUGAGGAAAUGGGGGAAGUGGGUGGCUGAGAUUAGAGAACCCAACAAGCGUUCCAGGAUCUGGCUCGGUUCUUACUCUACUCCCGAAGCGGCGGCGAGAGCUUACGACACUGCUGUUUUCUACCUCCGUGGUCCUUCGGCGAGGCUCAAUUUCCCGGAGCUUUUGGCUGGACUUACUGGUUCAGGCGGUGGUGGAGAUAUGUCGGCGGCGUAUAUAAGGAGAAAAGCGGCGGAGGUUGGUGCUCAGGUGGACGCGCUCGGAGCGACGGUG
rnacentral:lncRNA from 1 species